rnacentral:rRNA from 1 species
UACGGAGGGUGCGAGCGUUAAUCGGAUUAACUGGGCGUAAAGGGCACGCAGGCGGGCUUUUAAGUGAGGUGUGAAAUCUCCGGGCUUAACCUGGGAAUAGCAUUUCAGACUGGGAGUCUAGAGUACUUUAGAGAGGGGUAGAAUUCCACGUGUAGCGGUGAAAUGCGUAGAGAUGUGAAGGAAUACCGAAGGCGAAGGCAGCCCCCUGGGAAUAUACUGACGCUCAUGUGCGAAAGCGUGGGGAGCAAACAGG